GCCACUGCACUCCAGCCUGGGUGACAGAGUAAGACUCCAUCUCAAAAAAAAAAAAAAAAAAAAAAAAAAAAAAAAAAAAAGAAAAGAAAAAGAAAAAGAAAAGGAAGAGUUUAUUUCAAGAAAAGAAACGGCAUUCUGGGGAAGCAGUGUGACAUUUAUAUGAAAUAUAUGAGGUGAGAGAGAUGUAAUACGGGAAACUAUGAAAGAAGGUGGGAAACUCCCCCUGCUAGAAUAGAGGUUCCACGAGUAUAGAAACUUUUAUUGUCUGGCUUACUGUUAUCAUCCUUAGCGCCUAGAACCUGUUAAAGAAAAAAUUAUUUGGUGCUACUUACGAGAAUACAGUAAGGAAGCACCACUAUGAUAGGUGCAGGGACCAUCGCAUUGGGGACCUGUAGUGGGGGACAGAGAUCAGGUUCAACUCCUAACACUGCAUGGACAAGUGGGAAUUCA
rnacentral:lncRNA from 1 species